rnacentral:misc_RNA from 1 species
ACUGAGACGUCAUGCCCUUACGGGUAUAUCUCCCACCCUUGUAUAUCUAUACCUUUGUUGCUUUGGCGGGCCCGUCUUCGGACUACCGGCUCUGCUGGUGAGUGCCCGCCAGAGGACCUUAAACUCUGAUUGUAAUAUUCGUCUGAGUACUAUAUAAUAGUUA